CCUUGCCUGCCCUCGAUUCGCCCGAAAAACGCUGACACCUCCACCACCCUCCUCUCUGCCUCUCUGCAACGGACUCAUUUCCAUGCCCUAAGCUCUGGCCAAGCACCACCCCACGUCGACGAUCCCGUAGAGGACUCUGCGAUCCCAUGUCAAGACUUGUGGCUACCUCACCGUCGGCAUGAUAACACUGGGUGAGGACUUCCGAUGGUGGCAGGGAGAGAAAGGCAAGUUCACUUCCAUGUGUAGGUGAGGGAGACACCUCCCAAGAUCCUAUGGAGGACAUGCAAACGGAGUAUGUGAGGAGGCGAGAUGGUACUAUGACACACUAUCUAAGGACCUUUGGGAGUACGGUGAAAGUUUUUUUUUCUUCUUCUUUUCUAUGAACUUUUGACAUGUACAAGAAGGGGUGUUGGUGUUUCCAUUUUUCUUUAGCUAAAAUUCCUUAAGUCAUUACGUUUCCGUGUAUGUCGAGUAUGGUGCUUCUUAUCCAGUGAGAUUUCUACUAUAAUUCCUUAACUGCAAUAGUUUAGAGGUAUGUCUACUUUGAUUGAAUGAUGGACUACAAUUUGAUUGGUAAA